rnacentral:lncRNA from 1 species
AACAUUAGGGGGCCAGAGAAGAACAAAUUACUCUUGGCCGAACAUUUUUUAAAACAGCUUGGUAUAGCAACAAAUACAACCCAGACUGGAUUCAAGUGUUUUCUUCUCAUUUCAAAGGGAAAUCGCAUUUCCUAGGUUUGCUGAAAAGGAUCAAGGGGUGGUUUAACUCCUGAGCUCAAGUGAUCUGCCUGCCUGGGCCUCCCAAAGUACUGGGAUUACAGGCGUAAGCCACCGCACACAGUUGGUUUUGUCAGUUCUUUCUGUGGUUUGUAUUCUUUGAUUUAUGCUCCUUCCUGUUACUUUGUUUGGUUUAAAUUUACACUUAUAUUUUAUGAUUGAUUAAUGUAGCUCCUCAGGCCAUAAUUUACUUUUUCUUUUUCUUUUUUUGAGACGGAGUCUUGCUGUCUCCCAGGCCGGAGUGCAGUGGCACAAUCUCGGCUCACUGCAAGCUCCACCUCCCGGGUUCAUGCCAUUCUCCUGCCUCAGCCUCCCAAGUAACUGGGACUACAGGUGCCCGCCACCACGCCUGGCUAAUUUUUUGUAUUUUUAGUAGAGACAGGGUUUCACCGUGUUAGCCAGGAUGGUCUCGAUCUCCUGACCUCGUGAUCCACCCUCCUCGGCCUCCCAAAGUGCUGGAAUUACAGAUGUGAGCCACCGUGCCCGGCCCAUAAUUUUCAAGUUUUUUCUUUUUUUGACAGCUUUAGUGAGACACAAUUCACAUAAUUAAUAAUUAUGAUUAUUCAUAUAAUUCACCCAUUUAAAGUCUACAUUUCAGCAGUUUUUAA